GCACUUGCUGUGUGAUGCACG
rnacentral:miRNA from 1 species